ACAAAAAUAAACAUAAAUAAUAUUCAACGUUUUUUUAGUAAUUUUUUAAUCGAUUUAACCGUUCUGAUUGUGUUUAAAAUCUUUGGAGAAGAAUUUGUUUAUCCCGCUUGAGCAAAAAUUUUGAGAUCUUGGAGUUAGUAGCUGCCAAACUGUUCCAUAACGCUCACUUUUCGGUGGAUCGUUCCAGACAAUUUUACAAUCUGGAAUCUUUAGAGAUGGACUUCAUUGAGAAACUGCAGAACUUAUAAGUUUCAAAAAAUGAAAUUCUGGAGAAAGUGCUUCGAAAGAAUGGAUAAGAAAUUUAGGAAGAGCUCGCCUCUCAGAGGGAAGUUGCUGAAUCAAGUCCCGCUGCCUAUACACGAUCUUUUAUUGCGAAAUAGUCAUUUUCCAUUUCCCUGGCUGAUGAAACGGACUGUUUUUUUUUUUCGGAAACAUCGCCCGGAAUUUGCUCGACCGAGUCGUGAGUACAUAUUUCUAUGUGUUUAAAUGAAAACCGACUAUAGCCGAUCCGAAUAAGUUGGAGCCUCGUGAAUUGAUCAAAAGCUAUCACAGUGUGAAUAUGAAUGUCAAACGCACCAAAAAACUCACACGAUCACAUUUCUACCAAGAAAACUUCGAAGCAGCAAGCGACCAGAAGAUAAUGAGGCUGUUUCUCUGAAAGGUUUCUUUCUUAACGCAACCCUCGUGCCCCGCUCAACACCAGAAGCAGCCACAGCGACAACUGAAAUAAUUUACUCCGCACAUAACAACCUCACUGCCGAUUAAUGAACUUCCAGCCAACGUCAAAACAUACACGAAAUUUAU